AUUUUAAGAUAGGCAUUGCAUUAAAGCCCACAACAAUACUAUCUACACCCCACCUUCCUGACUGGAUUUAAUAGUGACCACAGUUUCUUAGUUGCCUAGAAGUGUAUUUUUUAAAAAACCAAUUAAAUACACAUACAACAUCAUUAUUACCUAACUAGUGCUUAUCCUUUGUUUCUCUGUUUUCUUAGGAUGUGUAUUUUUAAUUUAGGAUUAUAACUCCUGAUAAUGUUUCUGUGAGCCUUUCAUGUGAUUUAUAGGAAGACUGGGUUAUUGCUAUCACCAUUAUACCUCUUUUGUAA
rnacentral:lncRNA from 1 species